UUUAGUAUGGCAGAAUAGUGCAAUGGAUUUAAACCCCAUACAUAAAAUUAAAAUUUUUAUUAAAA
rnacentral:tRNA from 1 species